rnacentral:misc_RNA from 1 species
CUCGAGUUUGGAGUAGUCGGCCAUAUUUGUGUUAUUCCAGACCCGUGAUGUUGUUAGGCGAGUUACCCGGGUGUUUGGGGCCUUAUACAGUAAGCGAUUAAUGAUGAGUGAAGGUACACGGAUAGCUGUAAGGAAGGCGGAAGAAGUGUCCAAGAUGGGGGAGGCGGGAUUGACACCUGGCAUUCCUGUCGUUUGCUUGGUGUGUGACAGAACAAUAAAAGACAUUCAUGCCCAGGACGUACACAACUUGUUCUUAGAGUCGAGCGUUACGUCACACACCCGGCAGCAGCUCGGAGACAUACUGGAACAGAUCAUCAAGUCCCCUCUGGAUGCUACUCAGGUAUAUUCAAAGACUUUGUGUCGUCGAUGCUUUAAACUUCUUGAUGAGUUGGAUGAAAUGCAGCACCGCUCUGACGUCAUCAAGAAUACAAUAGCCGGCUGGUACAACCGAUCAUUCCUUAGAAGACUUAAGUUACCAGGUGGAGAGGAAGGAAACUUAGAACCAAUGGAUAUAGAUAGUCCUGAUGAGGAUGAAGAGUCAAUUGACGAGUUAAAAGUUGAACCAUUAGAUGACGAGGAAGACCUCCUAGCAGAUGAACUGAGGCCUGAAGACCAGGGGAUCAGACCUGACGACCCUGAGUUUAACCCCGCCUAUGAUAAUGUGUGGAUGAUGGGUAAAACUCGCGUCAGAGGUCGUGGCAGAGGGCGCGGGAGAGGGCGAGGUCGUGGAAGAGGUCGCGGACGAGGCCGUGGCCCCGGUAGACCACCAAAAAACCCAAAGGAUGGUUUGGGGCCAGGCAAAACAUCUGUCUCUCUGGGGGAGAAGUUAGGCCAACUGGUUACAAAGAUACUAGGAGAUGAUGACACGGAGGAACAGCCUAGCUUGGAGACUGAAGAAUCUGCAGGUGCUGAAGAAACUGAUGAUGCAGCUACAAAUGUUGAAGACAAGAGUGAAAAGAUAACUGUGGAAGAGAUAGUGGUGCUGAGUGGUGUCAGAAGAGAGGGAGGAAAGGGGAAGUCUAUGAGGAAGACUCCCAAACUUGAGGAUGUGUCUUCUAAAUCCGAGAAAAUGACUUAUAAGAACAAGACCCACAUGUGUGAUUUGUGUGGGAUAGAGUUUGACUAUGCACAAGAGUUCAGAGAUCACAUAAAGACUCACGGAAGUUACGAAUGUGCCAUGUGUGGAAAAGUGGUCGCCAAACAGGGAAUGUUGACUCAGCAUUAUGUCAAAUUCCACGGACUGAAAUUAAAUCCAGAUGCUCAACACGUUUGCUGGAUAUGUGGCAAAAAAUACAAAUCUAAACCGGCAGUCACAUACCACGUUACUACUGCCCAUAAUGACGCAAAACUUAAAUGUGAUAUAUGUGACAAGAGCUUCGGUCAUUCAAAAAAUCUCAAGGCUCAUAUGAAACGUCACGGAGAGAAGGAAGUAGCGUGUGAUAAAUGCCCCUCUAAGUUUUAUACCACUUCUGAGUUAGGAUAUCACUACAAUUCUGUCCACCAGAAUGCAAGGUGUUGGAAAUGUGAAGUGUGUGGAAAAGAAUUUAACCGAUCUAGUAUUUAUCUUAAUCACGUAGAGAAGCACAGACCCAAGAGAUUCGAGUGUACCGUAUGUUUUAAAAUGUUCCGUCGAAAAGCGCACAUCGAAGCUCACAUGAAGCAGCAUUUUAACACUAAUGCCGAACCCGAUCCCUCCCCCAAGGACAAGAUUAAGAAAUACCUGAGGUGUAACGACUGUGGUGCGUUGUUCGAGAGCGAGGACAAACGGAAGGAACACCUCUGUGGCGACCACGUGAAACUCAUCGAACAAUACGUCUGUGUUGGAUGUAAUGUUUCCUUUCAUUCCAAAGAGGACCUCGACACCCAUGUUUGUGGUCAGAAUGCCGCUCAUAUUUUAGUACAGUCUGAAACGAUCACUGAAGACGUACAGAUAUACGCAGAGCCGGGCAAUUUUGAACCUGCUGCCAUUGGUAUCAACACAGACGAAUGGGACACUUGCUAUGUUGUACUGGGAUGAGUGGAAUAGUUUCUUUGUUGUACAGAAAUAACCAUGAUGCCUGCCUUGUUAUACGUGUUUAAGAGACGUUACAGGUGACCCGUCCCAGGGAACCGGGCAAGAGAGUACCAGUUCUGUCCGAGAAGAUGCGCCUUAGUAUUGCCGAACUCUCUAGAAAAUCGCGAGCUUUGCCAC